CUCGAUACCCAGUGCCUCCAUACAGUGCUGAUCAGGGUAAUGUGUGGGUGCCAUAGGGCGCUGAUACAAAGCAAUGUAGCGCUCCCUCUGAGCAUUGUCUCUAUAGGCAACAUGCAUGUCAUCAAAACCCUGCAUCCUGUAAAAGUUAGGAAAGUGAUCCUGAAAAUGCAAACCAUUCAAAUCUUAGUAUCAAUGCAAAAUAAGAUAAAAUAAAAUAAAAAUAAAAAUAAAUGUAAAUAAAUAAGAAAAAAAGUAAAAUGAAAAGAAAAACCAUGGGUUGCCUCCCACGCAGCGCUUGUUUAACGUCAUUAGCU
rnacentral:lncRNA from 1 species